rnacentral:rRNA from 1 species
CUCCUGGAAACGGGUGGUAAUGCCGGAUGCUCCGCCCCCUCGCAUGGGGGGUCGGGAAGGCUUUUGCGGAAUGGGAUGGGGUCGCGUCCUAUCAGCUUGUUGGCGGGGCGACGGCCCACCAAGGCUUCGACGGGUAGCCGGCCUGAGAGGGCGACCGGCCACAUUGGGACUGAGAUACGGCCCAGACUCCUACGGGAGGCAGCAGUGGGGAAUAUUGCACAAUGGGGGGAACCCUGAUGCAGCGACGCCGCGUGCGGGAUGGAGGCCUUCGGGUCGUGAACCGCUUUUGAUUGGGAGCAAGCGUGAGUGAGUGUACCUUUCGAAUAAGCACCGGCUAACUACGUGCCAGCAGCCGCGGUAAUACGUAGGGUGC